CAGGGCAGCAAAACUUCUGCCGAAAUACUCUGACUUAUGGAUCAAAUUCCUAGCAACGUGGAACCCAUUUUUUCUCAAGAUGGACAAGCAAGUCGGAACUCUACGAUGUUGCAGAGUUUCCAAGUUGGAGUUACCAGGCUAAGCAAAGAUCCUAGUUCCUAACAACCUGCCCCUCAACCACAUCUCCAUCCUUCUCCUGACCAUAUAUGGAAACCUCCCAUUCUCAUCACAUCCCCCGUCAACUCUGGCACAGCACCCUCUGGCUUAAAGAAGAAUGAUCUCCUCAACCCUAACCAGUCAGCCUUCAAAACAAAUCACUGAACCAAGACUGUUCUCUGUGACACGUCGGCUCUUCGCACUGCCCUGGCGGUCUCUUCUCUGUUCUUAACAUCCUGGCUCUGCCUGCUGCCUUCAAUACUGUGAUCCUCCUCAACAACCUCUCUGGGCUUGCGAUCUCAGGUUCUCCACACCCUUGGAUUGCAUCCUACCUGGCAGGCUGUUCCU